UGGGGUAUAGCUCAGUGGUAGAGCACGUGCCUUGCAUGCACGAGGUCCUGGUUUCAGUCUCCAGUGCCUCCA
rfam:Camelus ferus unplaced genomic scaffold scaffold1533, whole genome shotgun sequence.